rnacentral:misc_RNA from 1 species
UUUAAUUGUAGGUGUUUUAUAAUUUUUUUGUUUAAAGAUUCAAAUAUAAGUCGCCUAAAAACAGCUAAACUCAGUGACGGAACCGGAACCUACAACAGUACACCCAAACGCGGGUUUACAGCUCGGAAAAUAUCCGAGCACACCCGAACGCAUCAUAACACAAGAUCAGACGGGGAAAUGGCUGCAACCGUUUUCAACAGAAAACUUUUGCAAUAUGCAUUUUGUAGAGUUUCGUUGCAGCAUGUUCGACUUUGUCCGGCAUUUUGCAAGUUCAGUACCAGUUCAAAAAAGAAUAUAAAGUUUUACAAUGAUAUUGAUGAGGCUAUUAAAGACAUACCUAGUGGUGCUAAGGUGCUAAUUGGAGGUUUUGGUUUGUGUGGAAUGCCCGAGAACCUGCUUGCUGGUCUGCUGAGAUCCAAAGUGAAGGAUUUAACCCUAGUGAGCAGCAAUGCUGGAAUUGGUAACUCAGCCCUAGGUCUCUUGAUGGAACACAAACAGGUUAAACGAAUGAUUUCGUCCUAUAUUGGUGAAAAUGACGUAUGUGAGCGGCUGUAUCUGGCUGGUGAACUGGAGAUUGAAUUAACUCCACAGGGAACUUUGGCAGAGAAAAUCCGGGCUGGUGGAUAUGGUGUCCCAGCAUUCUUCACUCCGACUGGUUAUGGAACUCUGGUCCAAAGGGGUGGAGCACCAAUCAAGUACACUGCAGAUGGAAAAAUCGCUAUAGCGAGUAAGCCACGUGAGACUUAUAAAUUUGAUGGGCGUAACUUCAUAAUGGAGAAAGCCAUUACAGGAGAAUUUGCAUUGAUCAAAGCUUGGAAGGCUGACAAAGCAGGCAAUUUAACUUUCAGACGAACGGCAAGGAAUUUCAACCCACCCAUGUGUAAAGCUGCAAAAAUCACCAUUGCAGAAGUCGAUGAAAUCGUCGAGAUCGGGGAUAUACCUGGAGAGGAGGUCCAUGUGCCUCACCUGUUUGUACAGCGUGUUGUUAAGGCACCAAAUGUUAAAAAAAGAAUAGAGAAGUUAACAGUGAGUCACAGAACAGACAAGAAUGUGACAAUUGAUGGUUCUUCAUCAAAGCGGGAGAGAAUCAUCAAACGAGCUGCCCUUGAGUUGAAGGAUGGAAUGUAUGCAAAUCUUGGCAUUGGUAUACCCAUAAUGGCCAGUAACUAUAUCCCUAAAGGGAUCAGUGUUACCCUCCAUAGUGAAAAUGGCAUGUUGGGAUUGGGUCCAUUUCCAGAACCAGGAGAGGAAGAUGCAGAUCUGAUCAAUGCGGGUAAACAAACUGUGACAGCUAUUCCAGGAAGCUCUUACUUUUCUAGUGACGAUUCAUUUGGAAUGGUGAGAGGGGGCCACAUGAAUACCACAAUUCUAGGUGCUAUGCAGGUGUCUCAGUAUGGGGAUAUCGCUAACUACAUGAUUCCUGGUAAGAUGGUGAAAGGAAUGGGAGGUGCCAUGGAUCUUGUCUCGAGCGACAAAACUAAGGUGAUCGUCACCAUGGAACAUGAAACAAAAGCAGGCAAACCGAAAAUUUUGACCAACUGUACUUACCCCUUGACAGGAUCACGCUGUGUGAACAUGAUAAUUACAGAAAAGGGUGUCUUUGAGAUUAACCAUGGAACUGGUUUAACUUUAAUAGAAAUUGCAGAUGAUGUGACCGUGGAGGAAAUUCUAAAAACCACUGGCAGUCCAUUUGCAGUCUCACCAAGCUUGAUUCCAAUGCAACAAGUGCCUGUAUGAAGUCAAACAUUGUAAUCCCAUCUUUGGGAGGAAACCAUUAUUAUUGAGACUUGCUACUAACAAAUGUAUCGCUGUUGCAUAUCAAUGUACAUCAGUGUAUAUUUUUUUUUUGGUCCUAUUUUUAUUAAAUUGUACAUAUUCGGUUAAGUAUUAAGGUUUCAUAUUGCAAUUUGUUUUUGUUUUGGGGUGUGUUUUUGUUGUUGUUGUUGUUGUUAUGUUGUAUUAUAUGUACGUUAUUUUUCUACUUUGAUAUACAUAUAUGUUUUCAGUAUUCAUGAACUGGAACCUGUAUGCAUAUAUUACCAAUACAUGGUUCUAAAUGUCAACCUGGGUUUUGCUAUGUAACUUUUAUACUAUAUUUUGCAAUGUAAUUUUUACAUAUUUAUAUUUUUACAUCAUAUUUAAUAUUUCUACAUUUUAUUAUUAUUAUUUUUUUUUUUAUACAUGUAUUUACAUUAUAUUUCAU